rnacentral:piRNA from 1 species
UAAAAGCAAAGAUAGCCGUUAGGGAGC